CGGGUGGAUGGCGUGGACGUCAUGCCGCCGGUGCUGGAAACGCUGGGCCGGAUGGAGGCGCUGGCGCGCGAGAUCCGCGCCUCGGGCGUUCGG
rnacentral:tRNA from 1 species